rnacentral:snRNA from 1 species
AUGCUAGCCUCGGCAGCUCAUAUACUAAAAUUGCAAUGAUACAAAGAAGAUUAGCAUGUUCCCUGUGCAAGGAUCACACACAAAGUCAUGAAGCAUUCCAUAUUUUU